rnacentral:rRNA from 1 species
AACGAACGCUGGCGGCAUGCCUAACACAUGCAAGUCGAACGCCUUGGCUUCGGCCAGGGAGUGGCGCACGGGUGAGUAACGCGUGGGAACCUGCCCGGCAGUACGGGACAACCGCGGGAAACUGCGGCUAAUACCGUAUACGGCCUGAGGGCGAAAGAAUUUCGCUGUCGGAGGGGCCCGCGUCGGAUUAGGUAGUUGGUGGGGUAACGGCCUACCAAGCCUGCGAUCCGUAGCUGGUCUGAGAGGAUGAUCAGCCACACUGGGACUGAGACACGGCCCAGACUCCUACGGGAGGCAGCAGUGGGGAAUAUUGGACAAUGGGCGCAAGCCUGAUCCAGCAAUGCCGCGUGAGUGAUGAAGGCCUUAGGGUUGUAAAGCUCUUUCGCCCGCGACGAUGAUGACGGUAGCGGGAGAAGAAGCCCCGGCUAACUCCGUGCCAGCAGCCGCGGUAAUACGGAGGGGGCUAGCGUUGUUCGGAAUUACUGGGCGUAAAGGGCGCGCA